rnacentral:rRNA from 1 species
GAUGAACGCUGGCGGCGUGCUUAACACAUGCAAGUCGAACGGGAAUUAUUUUAUUGAAACUUCGGUCGAUUUAAUUUAAUUCUAGUGGCGGACGGGUGAGUAACGCGUGGGUAACCUGCCUUAUACAGGGGGAUAACAGUCAGAAAUGGCUGCUAAUACCGCAUAAGCGCACAGAGCUGCAUGGCUCAGUGUGAAAAACUCCGGUGGUAUAAGAUGGACCCGCGUUGGAUUAGCUGGUUGGUGGGGUAACGGCCCACCAAGGCGACGAUCCAUAGCCGGCCGGGGGGGGGGAACGGCAAAAGUGGGACUGGGCACCGGCCCAGACCCCUAGGGGAGGAAGGAGGGGGGAAAUUGGCAAAAGGGGGGAAACCCUGGUGCGGGGACGCCGGGGGAAGGAAAAAGUAUCUGGGAAUGUAAACUUCUAUCAGAAGGGAAGAUGGGGACGGUACCUGACUAAGAACCCCCGGCUAACUACGU